rnacentral:rRNA from 1 species
CCUACGGGAUGCAGCAGUGAGGAAUAUUGGUCAAUGGACGAGAGUCUGAACCAGCCAAGUAGCGUGAAGGAUGACUGCCCUAUGGGUUGUAAACUUCUUUUAUAUGGGAAUAAAACGUUCCACGUGUGGGAUUUUGUAUGUACCAUAUGAAUAAGGAUCGGCUAACUCCGUGCCAGCAGCCGCGGUAAUACGGAGGAUCCGAGCGUUAUCCGGAUUUAUUGGGUUUAAAGGGAGCGUAGGUGGAUUGUUAAGUCAGUUGUGAAAGUUUGCGGCUCAACCGUAAAAUUGCAGUUGAAACUGGCAGUCUUGAGUACAGUAGAGGUGGGCGGAAUUCGUGGUGUAGCGGUGAAAUGCUUAGAUAUCACGAAGAACUCCGAUUGCGAAGGCAGUUCACUGGACUGCAACUGACACUGAGGCUCGAAAGUGUGGGUAUCAAACAGGAUUAGAUACCCGUGUAGUC